rnacentral:snoRNA from 1 species
CUGCACUCCAGCCGGGGUGACAGAGCGAGACCCCGUCUCAAAAAAAAAAAAAAAAAACCAUGCAUAUAUCCCCAGAACUAGUUCUUUCCCUAGGUCUAGUUUUAUAAAUGCUGCUGAUAAAC